CCCUUAGACGUUCUGGGCCGCACGCGCGCUACACUGACCAGUGCAACAAGCAUCCGUCCUUGGCCGACAGGCUCGGGCAAUCUUUGAACGCUGGUCGUGAUGGGGAUAGACUUUUGCAAUUUUUGGUCUUCAACGAGGAAUUCCUAGUAAACGCAAGUCAUCAACUUGCAUUGAUUACGUCCCUGCCCUUUGUACACACCGCCCGUCGCACCUACCGAUUGAAUGGUCCGGUGAAGCCUCCGGAUUGGAGCGCACCUCGGUGCCGCCGAGAAGUUGGCUAAACCUUACCAUUUAGAGGAAGGUGAAGUCGUAACA
rnacentral:rRNA from 1 species